GCUGAGCCUCAUCUCAUCUGAGAACAUCUGAAGGCAGCAUAUCCACCACAUCUGGAGCAGUGGAACGGUGAGGAAUAUCAAGGGAGGAUGGAGGAAGUGAAGCAUCCAGGAGAGUCCUGCUCCCUUCUACCUGCUCAUACUGCUCCAGCGCCUGGUCAGUUAUCGGCCACAUCCAGCCUGGUUGCACGGCCACCGCAGCUGCUGCAGGC
ensembl:lncRNA